rnacentral:tRNA from 1 species
CGUUUUAUGGCCAAAUUGGUAAAAAAAUCACAGGCGAGGAUGCGGGUUCGAGUCCCGCUGGAACGG